rnacentral:rRNA from 1 species
GACGAACGCUGGCGGCGUGCCUAAUACAUGCAAGUCGAGCGAGCGGAACUAACAGAUUUACCUCGGUAAUGACGUUAGGAAAGCGAGCGGCGGAUGGGUGAGUAACACGUGGGGAACCUGCCCCAUAGUCUGGGAUACCACUUGGAAACAGGUGCUACUACCGGAUAAGAAAGCAGAUCGCAUGAUCAGCUUUUAAAAGGCGGCGUAAGCUGUCGCUAUGGGAUGGCCCCGCGGUGCAUUAGCUAGUUGGUAAGGUAAAGGCUUACCAAGGCGAUGAUGCAUAGCCGAGGUGAGAGACGGAUCGGCCACAUGGGGACUGAGACACGGCCCAAACUCCUGCGGGAGGCAGCAGUAGGGAAUCUUCCACAAUGGACGCAAGUCUGAUGGAGCAACGCCGCGUGAGUGAAGAAGGUUUUCGGAUCGUAAAGCUCUGUUGUUGGUGAAGAAGGAUAGAGGUAGUAACUGGCCUUUAUUUGACGGUAAUCAACCAGAAAGUCACGGCUAACUACGUG